rnacentral:rRNA from 1 species
GACGAACGCUGGCGGCGUGCUUAACACAUGCAAGUCGAACGGAAAGGCCCCAUCUUGCUGGAGUCCUCGAGUGGCGAACGGGUGAGUAACACGUGGGUAAUCUGUCCUGCACCCUGGGAUAAGCCUGGGAAACUGGGUCUAAUACUGGAUAUGACCUUUCUCCUUAUGGGGUUCGGUGGAAAGUUUUUCGGUGUAGGAUGAGCCCGCGGCCUAUCAGCUUGUUGGUGGGGUGAUGGCCUACCAAGGCGACGCCGCGCAGCCGGCCUGAGAGGGUGAUCGGCCACAUUGGGACUGAGAUACGGCCCAGACUCCUACGGGAGGCAGCGGUGGGGAAUAUUGCACAAUGGGCGGAAGCCUGAUGCAGCGACGCCGCGUGGGGGAUGACGGCCUUCGGGUUGUAAACCUCUUUCAGCAGGGACGAAGCGUAAGUGACGGUACCUGCAGAAGAAGCACCGGCUAACUACGUG